rnacentral:rRNA from 1 species
GACGAACGCUGGCGGCGUGCCUAAUACAUGCAAGUUGAGCGCUGAAGGUUGGUACUUGUACCAACUGGAUGAGCAGCGAACGGGUGAGUAACGCGUGGGGAAUCUGCCUUUGAGCGGGGGACAACAUUUGGAAACGAAUGCUAAUACCGCAUAAAAACUUUAAACACAAGUUUUAAGUUUGAAAGAUGCAAUUGCAUCACUCAAAGAUGAUCCCGCGUUGUAUUAGCUAGUUGGUGAGGUAAAGGCUCACCAAGGCGAUGAUACAUAGCCGACCUGAGAGGGUGAUCGGCCACAUUGGGACUGAGACACGGCCCAAACUCCUACGGGAGGCAGCAGUAGGGAAUCUUCGGCAAGGGACGAAAGUCUGAACGAGCAACGCCGCGUGAGUGAAGAAGGUUUUCGGAUCGUAAAACUCUGUUGGUAGAGAAGAACGUUGGUGAGAGUGGAAAGCUCAUCAAGUGACGGUAACUACCCAGAAAGGGACGGCUAACUACGUG